ensembl:lncRNA
CCUGUGGCCGCGUAUGUACAAGGAGCUGGAGAGAAAAUGAGGACCAGGUACUGCCAUUGACUCAGUCAUUGCAGAGACGACAGUGUAGUGGCGGAGAUAGAAAAUGAUACUGUUACACAGAUGGUAAAGAAUCUUCCUGCAAUGCAGGAGACCCAGGUUCAAUUCUUGGGUCAGGAAAAUCCCCUGGAGAAGGGAAUGGCAACAACCCACUUCAGUAUUCUUGCCUGAAGAAUUCCAUGGACAGAGGAUCCUGGCAGGCUAUAGUCUCUGGGGUCAAAAAGAAUUGGACAUGACUGAGCAAGUAACACUAAGUGAAAUAUCACUGCCAGGGAGAACAACACAGCAAGACAGCAGGAGAGAGAUCAGAGAUCCUUCACCCACAGACGUCUUAAACCAUAAAGACAAUGGUUUGGAUGGCUUGAGAACAGCAGUGCCUUUAAACUAAUAGCAAAUCAUCUCAAUAAGAAAAACUAAUGCGGUUCAUUCUUCCCUGGGAGUCUACAGUCCUACUGUGGUCAGCAAACUAAACAAGCCAAGAAGGGAAACCAACACAUCCUGCAGUGCUUAGACUAACUGGAAAUUCAGACCUGAGUGGACAUUUAGAAAGACGGGAAUUUCGCGGGAGGAUUGCAUUUUGUGUGGGUCAUAUUUCCUUCAAGAUUCAAAGAAAGAUGCAUUGGCAGUUCCUCAUAUUAUGAAAGUAAGAAUCUCAUAGUUCUUAGACAUUUCUAAGAAAUGAAGUUUCAACCAACUAAUGCAUUAGAGACAAGCAAAAAUGCUUCCAUUCUGG